rnacentral:rRNA from 1 species
AACGAACGCUGGCGGCAUGCCUAACACAUGCAAGUCGAACGAGACCUUCGGGUCUAGUGGCGCACGGGUGCGUAACGCGUGGGAACCUGCCCUUAGGUUCGGAAUAACUUCCCGAAAGGGGUGCUAAUACCGGAUAAUGUCUUCGGACCAAAGAUUUAUCGCCUUUGGAUGGGCCUGCGUUGGAUUAGCUUGUUGGUAGGGUAAAAGCCUACAAAGGCGAGGAUCCAUAGCUGGGCUGAGAGGAUGGUCAGCCACACUGGGACUGAGACACGGCCCAGACUCCUACGGGAGGCAGCAGUGGGGAAUAUUGGACAGUGGGCGAAAGCCUGAUCCAGCAAUGCCGCGUGAGUGAUGAAGGCCUGAGGGUUGCAAAGCUCUUUUACCCGGGAUGAUAAUGACAGUACCGGGAGAAUAAGCUCCGGCUAACUCCGUG